rnacentral:lncRNA from 1 species
AUGCCCAUAUGGGAAAUGAAACCUUCACCUUGUAAUAACCCCAAGGUGUCUGCUUCUUUGGGAGAACCUCUCUCCCUUCCCCCUGGAUCCUUUUAUGCUUCCAACUUGGCACAGCAUGGUUUGGGCUCACAGAUCUUGUCCUCAGAUGGCCACAGCACCUGUCCUCAAGCAAAUGGGGGUCAAAUCUCUGCACCCAAAAGACAGCCUGUUUGGGAGAGCAGCUUGGAAACAGGUGGGGGUACCAUCACCACCCCACAAGUCCCUGCUGACCCCAAGCAUUUUUCUCUGAGCUGUGGGGGGCAGUGCUGGGGGCAGUCCAGCAGGGCCAUCCACCCCAGGCGCCUCCCGGCCACACACCUCCGCUGCCCAGCACCGGCAGGCCCAGACCUACUCUUCCCCUGGCUGCCCCGUGCCCCCGCGGCUCCUCAGCCCUGUGGAGUGAGGCGCUGGAGCCCAGCCCGGCCCCGCACAGAGCAGCCCCUGCCUGGCUGCGACCCAGCCCUGUCAGAUGCAGCGCGAGGGCUGCCACAGACAGGGGGCCACAAGCCUGCCCUGCCCUGGGGAAUUCUGGAUUCUGUUUGUGGUUGUGAGGUGGCUCAGUGCCUGCUAGGCCAGUGCUAGGCGCAUGGCUGCUGUUUGUGGUUGUGAGGUCAGUGGUGG